GGCCGGUUAGCACAAUUGGUAGUGUGUCUGACUACGAAUCAGGAGGUUGCGGGUUCGAGCCCCGUGCUGGUCA
rnacentral:tRNA from 1 species